UUACGAGUUUUGAACGAAUAUAAUAUUCCCUACGAAUACAAAAAAUAAUAUUUCUUACGAAUAUGAAAUAAGUAAUAUCCCUUACCUUAGUAGGAGAUCAGUAAUUCCGACUGGUAUAGCGGAGAUAUUCAUGAAAAAAAUUUGCACUAUUUGCUACGCUCAAAGUAUCCUUAUGCUCAAAAGAAAUACACUUAAUAUUAUAGAAGAAGAAUUCUC
rnacentral:lncRNA from 1 species